CAUGACAUGCAAACUUACCUGGAAUAGAAUUGCUAACGUCCCAGCUUAGCAAUAGUUUGGGUAAUUGCAGGAAGCAGGUUCUGGAAAUGACUCUGGCACAUUUCAUUAUGUGGCUGCCCUACAGCUCCUCAUGCAGAAUGAACUGUAGAGGUAUCAGACCUUCUUUUUGAAAAAAUCAUUAUUUCAAUACUAAAAAAGUUGGAUUGUUAUAAGUUUAAUAACUUUACACUAAACUUAAACUGUUUAGUAAUUCAGUGUUUGUUAAAAUUUAAACCAGUGACAGCUCCUAGGGAAAUUACAGCAGCUGAGCUGGAGGCAAAGCUAUUUUCCUGUCUCAUAAAAACUUUCAGUGCAUUAAAAGCAAGCUUGUUUCUGUUGGAAGAUACCUUGAAGAAUUUCUAUGGAAAAUCAGAAACACUGAUCACUCUAUUCAAACUCUGAAGAGUGGUGGGUCAGCCUGCUGAAUAUGAAAGUCACAGGUUUUUAGUUGCUGUUAUGCUUGGUUCAGACUUGGGAGCUAAUUUUGAUCUCCUUCAUGCAAGUGAAUGCUUCCAUCACUGAAUCAAUGUACAUGCAUGCCCCUCUUUCUUUCUCCACCACAAAAACAAACAAACAAGCUCCAUUUGGAUGAGUCCAGUUUUCCAAGUAAAAUUCUCCACAGAAAAAUUUGGUGAGAGCUCUUGAUGGGAGGAGGGAUGUGGUUAAUUAAUGGGUGGUGCUGUGGUUGCAUUCUGACCUCUUGCAGGGCACAUAAUGCCUAUAUUCCUCUACAAGCUUGUGGCUGAAAAAGGAAGUCAAAUCUUUAUUAAAAAUAAAAAGUAUUAUUCCAGUUCUAGCUCCCUGUUAGUUAUUUGAGAGUGGGUGCAUGUGCUGGGGACAUAACACAUGGUAUCAUGGAGAGGGAAAGAGGAUUUAGGGCUUCCUUUGUUGUUCCUUUUGUUCUCUUUUCCCACUACUGCUUUGGUGAUGUCAGCACUUUGCAUGCUGGGCAUUCUGGGCUGUGGGCUUUUUGCUGUGCUGCACAGAGCUAGGAGCCUGGAAAGCUAAAGAGCUUUUAUUUAUGUUCACAUUAACAGAAUAAUGGGUGUGGGCUCAGGUCUCCAUGCUGAGAUCCACCUUUUGUGUGAAAAUAAAUAAAUCUGUGCUUUCCUUCCCCCCCCGCCCCGCCUCUGGCUGUUCUGCACUGCCUCAAACACAGAGCUGAUCAGCAUAAGAAAUACUGGUGCCAACAUCCUCAAGUCCUUUACCUUCACUGGGGAAAUCCUCAGCUAUCUUUCUCCCAGUGAUUUACAGCAUCAGAAGAAGAACAGAAACCCCUCUGAAUCCAUUACUCUCUUCCACUGCAAUUUUUAAAUAAAAGAGCAGUUUAUCUGGUGAAGAAGAAAGAAGCUGAAAAAUAAAUUAAAACAAAACCAAAACAAAACCAAAAAACCCCAACAAAAACAGUGCAUCAUAUGUCAGCAAAACAUGAUGGAAAUAUUGCAAUAAAAAAAUAAAGUGUCAACAAAAAAAA